rnacentral:rRNA from 1 species
GAUGAACGCUGGCGGCAUGCCUAAUACAUGCAAGUCGAACGACCGGAGCAAUCCGGGAGUGGCGAACGGGUGAGUAACACGUGGGAACCUGCCCAGCGGUGGGGAACAACCGAGGGAAACUUCGGCUAAUACCGCAUACGCCCUUACGGGGAAAGAUUUAUCGCCGUUGGAGGGGCCCGCGUCCGAUUAGCUAGUUGGUGAGGUAACGGCUCACCAAGGCGACGAUCGGUAACUGGUCUGAGAGGACGACCAGUCACACUGGGACUGAGACACGGCCCAGACUCCUACGGGAGGCAGCAGUAGGGAAUAUUGGACAAUGGGGGAAACCCUGAUCCAGCAAUGCCGCGUGAGUGAUGAAGGCCUUAGGGUUGUAAAGCUCUUUCGCCCACGACGAUGAUGACGGUAGUGGGAGAAGAAGCCCCGGCUAACUUCGUGCCAGCCGCCGCGGUAA